CACCUAUACACAGGGAGAUGUAGCAGCCUUGCUCCGUGAACAAAGAAGUCUCUCUGCUGUAAUGACUUUGAGGCGAUCCACUUGUGUCUCUCAAAUUACUUUCAUCAGCUACAACAGAAAUCUGGGUCCAGGGAGGUGUUCCUUUCAGAUCCACGUGGGGCAGCCGUGAGCCGAGUGGCGGAGGACCCACAGGUGUGGCUGAUCCCCACAGAUUUCCUCCAAGGACCACCGCCAAGAUCCACCCCGCUCUGGCCGAACUCCUCACGCUCCGUCAUCGCUGCUCCCGCUCCGUGCUCCUGGCUCAGCUCCUCCUGCUCACCCGCCACUGUAGCACCUCCAAUAAUGACUCCUUACUCCUUCUGGACUUCCGAGUUGGUUUCUGCAUGCGAGUCAAAACAAUCGCUAAAACAAUGAUAUACGUAGUUCCCUUUAGUUCCCACCACUAUCAACAUUGUAAUACAAAAAUGUAAGUAGUUCCAAUAUAUCUAAUUUCGUGCAGCAUAGGCUACAUACGAUUUGUAAGGCAAAUGAACUGCAAUACCGGUUGCAGUUUUAAAAGCAAACAAAGACAAAAAGUCGGUUUAAAAUGUUCUGUUUUGGAGGAUUUGACUCCUUGCUCAU